rnacentral:rRNA from 1 species
UUCCGGUUGAUCCUGCCGGACCUGACUGCUAUCGGAUUGAUACUAAGCCAUGCGAGUCAUUGUAGCAAUACAAGGCAGACGGCUCAGUAACGCGUAGUCAACCUACCCUAUGGACGGGAAUAACCUCGGGAAACUGAGUAUAAUGCCCGAUAGAACACUAUACCUGGAAUGGUUUGUGUUUCAAAUGAUUUAUUGCCAUAGGAUGGGACUGCGGCCUAUCAGUUUGUUGGUGAGGUAAUGGCCCACCAAGACUAUUACAGGUACGGGCUCUGAGAGGAGUGGCCCGGAGAUGGGUACUGAGACACGGACCCAGGCCCUAUGGGGCGCAGCAGGCGAGAAAACUUUGCAAUGUGCGAAAGCACGACAAGGUUAAUCCGAGUGGUUUCUGCUAAAGGAACCUUUUGACAGUCCUAGAAACACUGUUGAAUAAGGGGUGGGCAAGUUCUGGUGUCAGCCGCCGCGGUAAAACCAGCACCUCAAGUGGUCAGGAUGAUUAUUGGGCCUAAAGCAUCCGUAGCCGGCUCAGUAAGUUUUCGGUUAAAUCUGUACGCUCAACGUACAGGCUGCCGGGAUACUGCAGAGCUAGGGAGUGGGAGAGGUAGACGGUACUCGGGAGGAAGUGGUAAAAUGCUUUGAUCUUUCGAUGACCACCUGUGGCGAAGGCGGUCUACCAGAACACGUCCGACGGUGAGGGAUGAAAGCUGGGGGAGCAAACCGGAUUAGAUACCCGGGUAGUCCCAGCUGUAAACUAUGCAAACUCAGUGAUGCAUUGGCUUGUGGACAAUGCAGUGUUGCAGGGAAGCCGUUAAGUUUGCCGCCUGGAAGUACGUACGCAAGUAUGAAACUUAAAGGAAUUGGCGGGGGAGCAUACAAGGGUGAAGCUGCGUUCAAUUGAAUCAACGC